GGGGAAUUGUUCGCAAUGGGCGCAAGCCUGACGACGCAACGCCGCGUGGAGGAUGAAGGUCUUCGGAUUGUAAACUCCUGUUGACCGGGACGAAUGAGCGACGACCUAACACGUCGGAGCAGUGACGGUACCUGGAUAAGAAGCACCGGCUAACUACGUGCCAGCAGCCGCGGUAAUACGUAGGGUGCGAGCGUUGUCCGGAAUUAUUGGGCGUAAAGAGCUCGUAGGCGGUUUGUCGCGUCGUUCGUGAAAACUCCACGCUUAACGUGGAGCGUGCGGGCGAUACGGGCAGACUUGAGUUCGGUAGGGGAGACUGGAAUUCCUGGUGUAGCGGUGAAAUGCGCAGAUAUCAGGAGGAACACCGGUGGCGAAGGCGGGUCUCUGGGCCGAUACUGACGCUGAGGAGCGAAAGCGUGGGGAGCGAA
rnacentral:rRNA from 1 species